GACUUUUAGUUGUCGUGGAUAACGACUUUUAGUAAUAUUAAGACGGUGGUUUUGAUUAUUAUUUUAAAUGAUGAAAUGUUGUUUUGAUAAAUAUCACAAAAUGAAGGGUAGACUCCGUAACGCCACAGUAUAAAAUGGCGGUACGUGGACAGAGUCGUGGCAUUCGUGUCAGACAGUGAUUCCGUCCGUCUCAGCAGUGAGUCUCUGACAGUCAGUCAGUCAGUCAGUCGGUCUGUCGCUUACUUGAUGAGCAAUAGAAUGGCGUGCAGCUGUGGAUGCCGCGAUACGAUCUAAUAAAAUUGAGGAAUGGCUCUCCAACCAAUGUUUGAUUCAAUAGGCCAAUUAGCUAUGAGAUUAGCUAUUCGAAUCAAGCCUAAAUCGGUAUCCAUUCCACGCUAGCUUUUCAACGGAAUUCACUUAGUAGAUUACAAUCGCUAAAUGCAACGCACAUGCUACUGAAAGACAAUUGUAUAAAACGACGUGUGUGCGGUGUUGUCAGAACCUGAUGCGCUGUGUUGCCAGGGACGGCAG